rnacentral:rRNA from 1 species
AACCUGCUCAGAACGAACGCUGGCGGCAGGCCUAACACAUGCAAGUCGAGCGCACCCUUCGGGGCGAGCGGCGGACGGGUUAGUAACGCGUGGGAAUGUACCCAGAUCUACGGAAUAGCCUCGGGAAACUGAGAGUAAUACCGUAUACGCCCUUCGGGGGAAAGAUUUAUCGGAUUUGGAUCAGCCCGCGUUAGAUUAGAUAGUUGGUGGGGUAAUGGCCUACCAAGUCUACGAUCUAUAGCUGGUUUUAGAGGAUGAUCAGCAACACUGGGACUGAGACACGGCCCAGACUCCUACGGGAGGCAGCAGUGGGGAAUCUUAGACAAUGGGCGCAAGCCUGAUCUAGCCAUGCCGCGUGUGUGAUGAAGGCCUUAGGGUCGUAAAGCACUUUCGCCAGAGAUGAUAAUGACAGUAUCUGGUAAAGAAACCCCGGCUAACUCCGUGCCAGCAGCCGCGGUAAUACGGAGGGGGUUAGCGUUGUUCGGAAUUACUGGGCGUAAAGCGUACGUAGGCGGAUCAGAAAGUAUGGGGUGAAAUCCCAGGGCUCAACCCUGGAACUGCCUCAUAAACUCCUGGUCUUGAGUUCGAGAGAGGUGAGUGGAAUUCCAAGUGUAGAGGUGAAAUUCGUAGAUAUUUGGAGGAACACCAGUGGCGAAGGCGGCUCACUGGCUCGAUACUGACGCUGAGGUACGAAAGUGUGGGGAGCAAACAGGAUUAGAUACCCUGGUAGUCCACACCGUAAACGAUGAAUGCCAGUCGUCGGGCAGUAUACUGUUCGGUGACACACCUAACGGAUUAAGCAUCCGCCU